UUAUUUAUAUAAGGUCUAGCCUGCCCAGUGAUUUAUUAAAUGGCCGCAGUAUUUUGACUGUGCAAAGGUAGCAUAAUCAUUAGUUUUUUAAUUGAAAGCUUGUAUGAAUGGUUGGACAAGAUGAAUUCUGUCUCUUUUUAAAUAUUAGAAUUUAAUUUUUUAGUUAAAAAGCUUAAAUUUUUUUAAAAGACGAGAAGACCCUAUAAAGCUUAAUAAUUAUUUAAUUUUAAUAUUUUAAGUUUUUUAAUAUUUUAGAUUUAAUAUAUUAUUUAAUUGGGGAAAUUUAAAGAUUAAAAUAAUUCUUUAUUUGUUGUACAUUUAUAUUUGAUUAUUUGAUCCAUUACUAUUGAUUAUAAGAUUAAGUUACUUUAGGGAUAACAGCGUAAUUCUUUUGGGGAGUUCAUAUUUAUAAAAGAGUUUGCGACCUCGAUGUUGGAUUAAAAUUUAAUUUGGGUGUAGAAGUUCAAAUUUUUAGUCUGUUCGACUAUUAAAAUUUUACA
rnacentral:rRNA from 1 species